rnacentral:rRNA from 1 species
UCCGUAGGGGGCGAGCGUUGUCCGGAUUCAUUGGGCGUAAAGCGCUUUAAGGCGGUUCGCUAAGUCGCGUGUGAAAACUCCAGGCUCAACCUGGAGACGCCACGCGAUACUGGCGUGACUAGAGUUCGGUAGGGGAUCACGGAAUUCCUGGUGUAGCGGUGAAAUGCGCAGAUAUCAGGAAGAACACCCGUGGCGAAGGCGGCUCUCUGGGACGGUACUGACGCUGAGACGCGAAAGCGUGGGGAGCAAACAGG